GACGUAGGGCGCGAGCGUUGUCCGGAUUUAUUGGGCGUAAAGAGCUCGUAGGCGGCUUGUCGCGUCGUCCGUGAAAACUCGGGGCUCAACCCCGAGCUUGCGGUCGAUACGGGCAGGCUCGAGUUCGGUAGGGGAGACUGGAAUUCCUGGUGUAGCGGUGAAAUGCGCAGAUAUCAGGAGGAACACCGGUGGCGAAGGCGGGUCUCUGGGCCGAUACUGACGCUGAGAAGCGAAAGCGUGGGGAGCGAACAGG
rnacentral:rRNA from 1 species